AUAGUGCGGUGGAACCACCUGAGACCAUACCGAACUCAGAAGUGAAACGCUGUAAUGCCGAUGGUAGUGUGGGGUUUCCCCAUGUGAGAGUAGG
rnacentral:rRNA from 1 species